rnacentral:tRNA from 1 species
UCCCUGGUGGCUCAGACGGUAAAGCGUCUGCCUGCAAUGCAGGAGACCUGGGUUCGAUCCCUGGGUCAGGGAA